rnacentral:rRNA from 1 species
CCUACGGGAGGCAGCAGUGGGGAAUCUUGGGCAAUGGGCGCAAGCCUGACCCAGCAACGCCGCGUGCAGGAAGCAGGCUUUCGGGUUGUAAACUUCUUUUAAGAGGGAAGAGCCGAAGACGGUACCUCUUGAAUAAGCUCCGGCUAUCUACGUGCCAGCAGCCGCGGUCAUACGUAGGGAGCGAGCGUUGUCCGGAUUUACUGGGUGUAAAGGGCGUGCAGCCGGGAGGACAAGCCCGAUGUGAAAUCCCGCGGCUCAACCGCGGAACUGCAUUUGAAACUGUAUGUCUUGAGUACUGGAGAGGCAGACGGAAUUCCGAGUGUAGCGGUGAAAUGCGUAGAGAUUAGGAGGAACACCAGUGGCGAAGGCGGUCUGCUGGACAGCAACGGACGGUGAGGCGCGAAAGCGUGGGGAGCAAACAGGAUUAGAUACCCUAGUAGUC